UUGACCUCGGAUCAGGUAGGAAUACCCGCUGAACUUAAGCAUAUCAAUAAGCGGAGGAAAAGAAACCAACAGGGAUUACCUCAGUAACGGCGAGUGAAGCGGUAAUAGCUCAAAUUUGAAAUCUGGCUCUUUCAGGGUCCGAGUUGUAAUUUGUAGAGGAUGUUUCGGGCACGGUUACGGUUUAAAUUUCUUGGAACAGAAUGUCAAAGAGGGUGAGAGUCCCGUCUUGAACCGAUUACUUCGUCCAUGUGAAACUCCUUCGACGAGUCGAGUUGUUUGGGAAUGCAGCUCAAAAUGGGUGGUAAAUUUCAUCUAAAGCUAAAUAUUGGCCAGAGACCGAUAGCGCACAAGUAGAGUGAUCGAAAGAUGAAAAGCACUUUGAAAAGAGAGUUAAACAGUAUGUGAAAUUGUUGAAAGGGAAGCGCUUGUAAUCAGACUUGAGCUUAACAGUUCCCCCUUCGUUCUCGUUGGGUUAUUCUGUUUUGUCCAGGCCAACAUCAGUUCGGGUGGUUGGUUAAAGACUUUAGGAAUGUAUCUACCCCUCGGGGUCGACUUAUAGCCUAGAGUGUCAUGCAGCCUACCUGGACUGAGGAACGCGCUUCGGCUCGGAUGUUGGCGUAAUGGUUAUAAGCGACCCGUCUUGAAACACGGACCAAGGAGUCUAACAUCUAUGCAAGUCUUUGAGUGGAAAACUCGCAGGCGUAAUGAAAGUGAACGGAGGUAAGAAGCCUUUAGGCUGCAUUAUCGACCGAUCUUGAUGUCUUCGGAUGGAUUUGAGUAAGAGCAUAGCUGUUGGGACCCGAAAGAUGGUGAACUAUGCCUGAAUAGGGUGAAGCCAGAGGAAACUCUGGUGGAGGCUCGCAGCGGUUCUGACGUGCAAAUCGAUCGUCAAAUUUGGGUAUAGGGGCGAAAGACUAAUCGAACCAU
rnacentral:rRNA from 1 species